UGCAGGGUCAUUAUUAAAGUAUCUCUCAAAGUUGCAGGUUGAUGAAGAGCCAGCAAUCAGAACAAAUACUACCAUUUUACUUGGGAAUAUUGCAAGUCACCUAAAUGAAGGGGCUCUCGCUUGAUGAACGGUUCAUGAACUUAUUCUUCUGUCUCUCAAGAUUCUGCUUUUUAGGGUGGUUGUUCCUAC